UACAGAGGGGGCAAGCGUUGUUCGGAAUUACUGGGCGUAAAGGGCGCGUAGGCGGCCUGUUAAGUCGGACGUGAAAUCCCUCGGCUCAACCGGGGAACUGCGUCCGAUACUGGCGGGCUUGAAUUCGGGAGAGGGAUGUGGAAUUCCAGGUGUAGCGGUGAAAUGCGUAGAUAUCUGGAGGAACACCGGUGGCGAAGGCGGCAUCCUGGACCGAUAUUGACGCUGAUGCGCGAAAGCCAGGGGAGCAAACGGG
rnacentral:rRNA from 1 species